UCUCUUCUCUUCUUUUCCCUCAGAUAGCUUUCUUUCUCAAUUAAGCUUUCUCUAUCUUCAACCUUUUGUACAUCAGUCAAAGUCGGUAACGUCCCUCUGGCUUUGUUUAUUAUACAUGUGUGAUUGUCAUCUUUCUGAUUUACCUUCUUAUUAUCCUUACGAAUGGCGAAAGUUUGCAAGUCUUUGUAUCUGUAACCAGUAAGUCAUUUUGUAAUCAGUUUUGUAAUAAAUAGUGAUGCAAUUUAAAUUUGUAUUUACAUUCAAAAUCCAAGAGUAUACUCAUACUUCGUGGAUUAUAUUCGAUAUUUCUGUGCUUCCUAUUUUCAUU
rnacentral:lncRNA from 1 species